AACCCAGUGCAAUUCGUUGCACUAUCGUUAACUGAAUACAUAGGUUAACGAGGCGAACCGGGGGAACUGAAACAUCUAAGUACCCCGAGGAAAAGAAAUCAACCGAGAUUCCCCCAGUAGCGGCGAGCGAACGGGGAGCAGCCCAGAGUCUGAAUCAGCUUGUGUGUUAGUGGAACGGUCUGGAAAGUCCGACGGUACAGGGUGAUAGUCCCGUACACCAAAAUGCACAGGUUGUGAACUCGAAGAGUAGGGCGGGACACGUGGUAUCCUGUCUGAAUAUGGGGGGACCAUCCUCCAAGGCUAAAUACUCCUGACUGACCGAUAGUGAACCAGUACCGUGAGGGAAAGGCGAAAAGAACCCCGGCGAGGGGAGUGAAAAAGAACCUGAAACCGUGUACGUACAAGCAGUGGGAGCACCUUCGGGUGUGACUGCGUACCUUUUGUAUAAUGGGUCAGCGACUUAUAUUCUGUAGCAAGGUUAACCGUAUAGGGGAGCCGCAGGGAAACCGAGUCUUAACUGGGCGUUAAGUUGCAGGGUAUAGACCCGAAACCCGGUGAUCUAGCCAUGGGCAGGUUGAAGGUUGGGUAACACUAACUGGAGGACCGAACCGACUAAUGUUGAAAAAUUAGCGGAUGACUUGUGGCUGGGGGUGAAAGGCCAAUCAAACCGGGAGAUAGCUGGUUCUCCCCGAAAGCUAUUUAGGUAGCGCCUCGUGAAUUCAUCUUCGGGGGUAGAGCACUGUUUCGGCUAGGGGGUCAUCCCGACUUACCAACCCGAUGCAAACUACGAAUACCGAAGAAUGUUAUCACGGGAGAC
rnacentral:rRNA from 1 species